rnacentral:sRNA from 15 species
UUUUUAAAACCACACGUUUGUAAUGCUUUUUCGGUCAGUUUUACAAAACGGAAACAAAAAUUAAAUUAAAAUAGAAAAACAACUUUUCAUAUCCAAAACUAAAUUUUUGCCGAUAAGAUAAGCAUGAACGCGAGGAGGAAGAACGCAAACGCCGAAUUCAGCUGUACGUAUUUAUAUCACGAUGUAUUUCGUAUCCGUUUAAUGCUAAACAUCCUACGGAUAUGACAAAACGGCAACCAAAAACUACGAAACAACAAUUAGAGAUAAUUACCCAACGAUUCCAGGGAGCAGAUCGAUGUUUCCACGACGAGAUUGAUG